AACCCUACGGGAGGCAGCAGUGGGGAAUUUUGGACAAUGGGCGCAAGCCUGAUCCAGCUAUUCCGCGUGUGGGAUGAAGGCCCUCGGGUUGUAAACCACUUUUGUAGAGAACGAAAAGACACCUUCGAAUAAAGGGUGUUGCUGACGGUACUCUAAGAAUAAGCUCCGGCUAACUACGUGCCAGCAGCCGCGGUAAUACGUAGGGAGCAAGCGUUAUCCGGAUUUACUGGGUGUAAAGGGCGUGUAGGCGGGCAUGCAAGCCAGAAGUGAAAUCUGGGGGCUUAACCCCCAAACUGCUUUUGGAA
rnacentral:rRNA from 1 species